UCUCAGGUGGUCCAGUGGUUAGGACUCUGCACUUUCACUGCAGACAGCCUGAGUUCCAUCCUUGGUAAGGGAA
rnacentral:tRNA from 1 species